UGGGGAAUUUUGCACAAUGGGGGAAACCCUGAUGCAGCGACGCCGCGUGAUUUAGAAGGCCUUCGGGUUGUAAAAAUCUUUUCUAUGGGAAGAAAAUGACAGUACCAUAGGAAUAAGCACCUGCUAAUUACGUGCCAGCAGCCGCGGUAAUACGUAAGGUCCGAGCGUUGUCCGGAAUCAUUGGGCGUAAAGGGUACGUAGGCGGGUAAGCAAGUUAGAAGUGAAAUCCUAUAGCUCAACUAUAGUAAGCUUUUAAAACUGCUCAUCUUGAGGUAUGGAAGGGAAAGUGGAAUUCCUGGUGUAGCGGUGAGAUUCGCAGAUAUUAGGAGGAAUACCGGUGGCGAAGGCGAAUUUCUGGCCAUAGCCUGACGCUGAGGUACGAAAGCGUGGGUAGCAAACAGG
rnacentral:rRNA from 1 species